UACGGGGGUGGCAAGCGUUGUUCGGAAUUACUGGGCGUAAAGGGCGCGUAGGCGGGGAGGUAAGUCGGGUGUGAAAUCCCUCGGCUCAACCGAGGAACUGCGCCCGAGACUGCCUUUCUUGAGUCCCGGAGAGGAAGGUGGAAUUCCCGGUGUAGCGGUGAGAUGUGUAGAGAUCGGGAGGAACACCGGUGGCGAAGGCGGCCUUCUGGACGGUGACUGACGCUGAGGCGCGAAAGCGUGGGGAGCAAACGGG
rnacentral:rRNA from 1 species